AAGUCGUAACAAGGUCUCGUUGGUGACCAGCGGAGGGAUCAUUACCGAGUUUACAACUCCCAAACCCAUGUGAACAUACCUACUGUUGCUUCGGCGGGAUUGCCCCGGGCGCCUCGUGUGCCCCGGAUCAGGCGCCCGCCUAGGAAACUUAACUCUUGUUUUAUUUUGGAAUCUUCUGAGUAGUUUUUACAAAUAAAUAAAAACUUUCAACAACGGAUCUCUUGGUUCUG
rnacentral:misc_RNA from 1 species